UCCAUAAUGAUGUUAACUACCAACUGAACGUCAUUACCAAUCUAUAUUUGAGAAGUUUUGACCUUAAAGGAUGUUCGCAGUUGCGAGGCAUUUGUCUGAAUUAUUU